AAAAAAUAAGAAGAAAAAGAAAAUGGAAAAGGAGCAGAAAGAGCAGAAGCAGAAGAAGUAGAAAAAGCAGAAGAUGACGACGACGACGAAGAAGAAGAAGAAGAAGAAGAAGAAGAAGAAGAAGAAGAAGAAGAAGAAGAAGAGAAGAAAGAGGAAGAGGAAAACGACGCGAGACCGACGGGUAGCCGAUCUCGUGGCGCGCACAGUGGCAAGAAGAAGAUAGGGGAAGUUGAUAUCGUGGUAAGAGAGAGAGAGAGAGAAAGAGAGAGAGAAAGAGUGGGAGAGAGUGGGAGAGAGAGAGAGAGGGAGAGCGUGUUGAGAAGCAGUAGUGGGGAUGUAGUGUAAGAGGGAAGGUUUAGCUCGGUCGCAAGAGGUCGCUUCGGAGGUUGGUAUGAGCCCGCCCACUAGAACUGUGGCAUAGGGCCGAUUGGUCGAGAGAAAUGAUGGCAGGCGCGCGUGCCAAUCGAUAGCCGUCGGUAGACUCGCUCCUUUGGCUAUGGUCGCGUCGAUCCUGCCAGAGUGGGGGUAUCCUCGUAGACUGGAGGGAGCGAAGGAGCGAAGGGGUCGAGGGACGGACCGAGUUGGUCAGAAGUGGGGGGUGAGAAAGAGGAGUAGUGGAGGUAACAGCAGCCGCCUCGGCAGGAAGUGAGCCCCGAGUGUUAGAGCCCAAGGCGAAACCCACGAAUGCUCAGACGGUUCUGUCCUUUCGUGGAGAGUGGAGGUCGGCUUCUUCUUUUCUUGUGUUAAUCUACGACGUGUGAGACACUAAAGAAAAAACGCGUGCCAAGCGUGUGCACGCGCUCAUACGCAUCAUACACGGAUACGGAUACGUACUCUAUACAUACUGAAAGAAAGAGAGAGAGAGAGAGACAGACAGUGGAGAAAGAGGGAGGGAGUGAGUGGAGAAGAGAAGAGAAGAGAAGGAAGAGAAGGAAGAGAAGAGAAGAGAAGAGAAGAGAAGAGAAAGAUCGAGCUCUCGUGUUGAUGGUGAUCAUCGUCUGUGACUAGUAAGAGAGCCUUCCGUAUCAAGGUGUCAACAACGCGUCGUUGUUGUCCUCUGUUCUUCUCUUCUGUGGCGUCGUCGAGUACGAGGACCGCCGGCGACGUGUCUCCUUGUGGUGUUCCUUCAGUGACAUUUACGUAGUGAGAAUCUCUUAAUAUACGAAAACAAUAACGAACGAUACUAGACUUUGAAGAAGAGGAAGAAGAAAAAGAAGUUUAAAGAAAUAGAAGAAAAAGGAAAGAACAACAACAAUUUUAAGGAAUGAGUAAUGCGCGCGGGUUGAUUCUACGUGCUAAGAGUGCGCGAAGUUUGUGAGGGAUUGUGAUUUUUGUCGAGAAAGAAACACUUAUAUCGGAUCAUUCAUAUUUUCAAUAUCGUUAUGAAAAGGGAAACGGACUAAGUGAAAUUCGGCUUCGAAGAGAAAAAAGCGAGAGGAAGGAAAAGAGAAAGCGAGAGAGAGAGAGAGAGAGAGAGAGAAGGAAAGAAAAGAAGAAAAAAAAGAGCUAGUGACCGGACGCGCUACGGCUGAAGAAAAUCGAGGAGCGGCGCGCAGUGGUGCGCGAGAUCUCAUCGGCGGCGUGUGUCUCGUCGAGGCUCUUUCUUUGACGUAGCACAGUUAAAGAAAACGGCGGCAAACUGUACGGCCACAGGGAGGACGACAUGCUCACGAUGGAGACGGACCUAAAAGGCGGUAGCCUGCAUGGUCAGAUGCCACCGCAUCCGCACCAAGGUGUAUCGCCGAUGGGUCACCAUACCGGCGUGUCGCCUUACGGAACACUAGGUUCCAUAGUUCAUAGUCCAGCCCUGUCUGGAAGUCCACCUAGCAGUAGUACCCUAGGAUUAGGUUUACAACAUCAUCAUCAACCGCAGCACCAUUAUGCUUCGAUGCAGGCUGCGGCUGCUGCGGCCCAACAGCAGCAGCAGCAGCAACAACAGCAGCAACAACAACAACAACAGCAACAACAAAACAUGCAUACUCUUGCGGCUCAGCAAAGCGCUGCGCAACAGCAACACCAUCCUCAUCAGCAACCGCAGCAACAACAGCAACAGCAAUCGCAAAACCAACAUCAUCAGCCACCAAAUAACAACAAUAAUACGAAUAAGAACAAUAACAUAGACCGAGUGAAGAGGCCGAUGAACGCUUUCAUGGUCUGGUCCCGCGGUCAACGGCGUAAGAUGGCUCAAGAGAAUCCGAAGAUGCAUAAUUCAGAAAUUUCUAAACGCUUGGGAGCGGAAUGGAAAUUACUCAGCGAAACAGAAAAACGCCCGUUUAUCGACGAAGCGAAGCGAUUGCGCGCGGUGCACAUGAAAGAGCACCCGGAUUACAAGUACCGACCAAGAAGAAAAACGAAAACGCUUUUGAAGAAAGACAAGUUCCCGCUCGGCGGCGGUGUCGGAGGAGUUGGAGUCGGCGUUGGUGUCGGUGGCAUAUUAGGCGUCGAUCAAAGACAAGUUGGUAGUACGGGUGGACCUCAGCAAGGGCAGAUAUCCCGCGAGGUAUAUCAGAUGCCCAACGGAUAUAUGCCGAAUGGUUAUAUGAUGCACGAUCCGACGGCCGCUGCGUAUCAGCAGCACGUUGCUUAUGGUGGUCACAUGGGUGGAGCGGCGGCAGCCGCGGCCGCUGCUGGAUAUCCAAGAUAUGAUAUGGGACAUCACAUGGGUGGUGGCAGUCCACCAAUAAACAGUUAUAUGAAUGGAUAUGGUGGUUACGCUGGAACCACCGUACCCGGCGGCUCACCCUCGCCGUAUCACCAGCCUCAAUCUGGAUCCCAAAUGUCUAGCCACAGUCCUAGCGGCAGUAGUAUAAAAUCUGAGCCAACGAGUCCUGCGAGUGCGGGUAUACAUACUCCCACACCUACCAGCGGACCGGGCGCCUCGAGCGCAGCGUCUGGUCCGCAACAGCAGCAACAGGCGCAACAACAACAAGCUGCUGCUGCUGCUGCCGUUAAACGUGAAUAUAUGGGCCAACAAACCCAUCAAACUCAUCAAUCUCAGGGAGAUCUUAGACAGAUGAUAUCCAUGUAUUUGCCGCAAGGAGUCGACCAGGGGGUCGUCCAACAUGGUGCUGGUGUCUACUCCCCUGGUCCAUCACCGGAUCCUUUGGCGCAACAUCACUCGAUACCACCGCUCAGUCAUAUGUCUGAAAGUGAUCGAAAAAUGUUGAACCCAGAAACCGGUUGUUAUUCGGAAUCCGUGCGAGCAUGGGAUUGGAACGCGACGGGCAACGUGCGCGUACAAGAGUCCUGGCCGACGUGAGCGGAUUUCGCCGCGGCUAACUCGAACUUCUCCAACGACGAAGGAUCAGGAUCCUUGAUUGUUUCGCGCCUCACGGUAUCAAUGUCCGGAGGAGACUUACAGGAUGCCCGUGGACUAUUAUAGUGCUAGAUCGACUUCGUCCAGGAGAUACUUCGUUAACGAUUAAGAUACCUUCGACGAGUCCUGAGAAGGUGGUGUGGGUGCGUGCGUGUGUGCGUGCGUGUUUACGCGUGUGUGCAUGCGUGCGUGUGUGCGUUUGAUAAAAUGGACGAUAUAAUUAACGUAUAUACGGUGUAUAACGUACCUCGGGUGAUUCAAUUUAAUAGAUUAUAUAUAAACGAUGUAAAUAUCGGUGUGCAAUAAGUCGACACUUCCUCGUUUAUGAUAGGCGAGAAAGUCCUUGUUAUUAUCACCGUUACGGUUAGCAUUACGAACCAUUAUCGUUACGGAGCAUCGCUUAUCAUUAUCGUAUCUGCCGUGAGAGGAGGAACUCGUUGAAUUAUUCAUGCGGCGUUUAUGACGGAAUCUUUUUUCUUCUUUUUUUUUCUUUUUUUCUUUUUGUUAGACUAAAAGUGUGAAAGAGAGAGAGAGAGAGAGAGAGGGAGAGAAUGAAAUAGAGAGUGUAUGAGAGAAUAAGAGAGGGAGAGGUACGUACAGCGAAUGAGAGGGUCGCGCGAGUCUCGGGUAACCGUUCGCGCGCUUCGUUAUAAAUCAUCGCAUGACGUAUGUACAUACGUUAAGGAGCCAACUCAGAUUUUCUUUCGUUCUUUUUUUUUUCUUUUUUCUUUAUUUUUUUUUUCUUCCUCGAGCUCCUUCACUCGCGAAAGAAGAAUCCUUUGCAUAUCGAAGAGCGAUGCGACGAUUCCGAGAAGACCGGAAAAGACACAUAUAUACAUGCAUAUAUAUAUAUAUAUAUAUAUAUAUAUAUAUGUAUGUAUGUAUGUAUGCGUUCACAACCAUUCAACAUGAAAACACAGAAACACACAUUAUAGCGUCUUCGUGUUAACCUGUAUAUUUCUUCUGUAAAUAAAUUAUUCGUGAUAAUCGCUGCGAGUGAUGCGACACAUAUUUUAAUUAUCGUUUGAUUAUUACCAAACCGAGUUAGUAUCCUCGGCCUAGGGAUCGACACGACUGUCUUACAAUCGAUAUAGAUUUAUGAUUAUUAAGUAAAAUAUUAAUGUAGUAAGAUUAGUAGUACAUGCUCGUUGAUUUAUCGUGGAACGUUUCGUUGUAAGCCGAUCUUUCGAGAUAAAUCGUAGGAGAUAAGCGAGUAUCGAUUUUACACGAAGGAGGAGAUCGAUUUAAAUGAACGAGCUACGCGAUAAGGUAUGUUACAUAAAAGAUUCCGGGAGAGAGGAGAACCCGAAGAAUCGAUCCUGCAGCAGCAUGAAAACGAAAAUAGUCGCCGAACGUAACGAUCAACAUCAGAAACAUGCAUUUUCGAUCUAAAAUAUGAGUUAAAAGGAGUCAGCAAUUAGGGAGCGAGCGAACUUAAGUAAAUUUUUACCUCUCUUGCGAAAGGACGUUCGUGUCGUUCAACAAUUCGCACAUUUGAUCGCAAUAAAGGCCGUGCAAAGGAAACAAUAGACGAGCUUUUGUUGUUACUACGAGUAUUUCCCUACAUUUGUAUCAUAGUUGAAUCCUUUCAAUAUGAAAUUUCAACUGCCCUGCAAAAAGUAUUGAUUCGUUCUGAUAAUACGUAAACAUGUAAAACGAUAAUCCUAAUGUCGAGAAAAAAGGUUAUGAAAUUAAUUAAAGAAAAAAAAAAAGAAAAAAGAAAGAAAAAGAAUCUACUAUUUAUAAUUACAAACAAAGAAUACUACAA